UACGUAGGCAGCAAGCGUUGUUCGGAGUUACUGGGCGUAAAGAGUAUGUAGGCGGUUGGGUAAGUUUGGUGUGAAAUCUCCCGGCUUAACUGGGAGGGUGCGCUAAAGACUGCCUGGCUCGAGUGUGGGAGAGGAAAGCGGAAUUCCUGGUGUAGCGGUGAAAUGCGUAGAUAUCAGGAGGAACACCUGCGGUGUAGACGGCUUUCUGGACCAUAACUGGCGCUGAGAUACGAAAGCGUGGGUAGCAAACAGG
rnacentral:rRNA from 1 species